AGAGUUUGAUCCUGGCUCAGGGUUAACGCUGGCGGCGUGCCUAACACAUGCAAGUCGAGCGAGGGCUAGUCUUCCGCAAGGGGGGCUGGUACCUAGCGGCAAACGGGUGAGUAACACGUGGGCAACCUGUCCUCUUGUGGGGGAUAACACCGAGAAAUCGGUGCUAAUACCGCAUGAAAUCGCUGGAGGCAUCUUUGGCG
rnacentral:rRNA from 1 species